AGAGUUUGAUCCUGGCUCAGGAUGAACGCUGGCUACAGGCUUAACACAUGCAAGUCGAGGGGCAGCAUGCCGGUUGCUUGCAACCGGUGAUGGCGACCGGCGCACGGGUGAGUAACGCGUAUCCAACCUUCCCGCGACCAAGGGAUAACCUGCCGAAAGGCAGACUAAUACCUUAUGUCCUCCUUUGAAGGCAUCUGACGAGGAGCAAAGAUCCGUCGGUCACGGAUGGGGAUGCGUCCGAUUAGCUUGUUGGCGGGGCAACGGCCCACCAAGGCAUCGAUCGGUAGGGGUUCUGAGAGGAAGGUCCCCCACACUGGAACUGAGACACGGUCCAGACUCCUACGGGAGGCAGCAGUGAGGAAUAUUGGUCAAUGGGCGGAAGCCUGAACCAGCCAAGUAGCGUGCAGGAUGACGGCCCUACGGGUUGUAAACUGCUUUUAUGCGGGGAUAAAGUUGCCCACGCGUGGGUUUUUGCAGGUACCGCAUGAAUAAGGACCGGCUAAUUCCGUGCCAGCAGCCGCGGUAAUACGGAAGGUCCGGGCGUUAUCCGGAUUUAUUGGGUUUAAAGGGAGCGCAGGCCGCCGUGCAAGCGUGCCGUGAAAAGCAGCGGCCCAACCGCUGCCCUGCGGCGCGAACUGCCUGGCUUGAGUGCGCCGGAAGCGGGCGGAAUUCGUGGUGUAGCGGUGAAAUGCUUAGAUAUCACGAAGAACCCCGAUUGCGAAGGCAGCCCGCUGUGGCGCCACUGACGCUGAGGCUCGAAGGUGCGGGUAUCGAACAGGAUUAGAUACCCUGGUAGUCCGCACGGUAAACGAUGGAUACCCGCUGUCCGGCCCGUAUGGUCUGGGCGGCCAAGCGAAAGCGUUAAGUAUCCCACCUGGGGAGUACGCCGGCAACGGUGAAACUCAAAGGAAUUGACGGGGGCCCG
rnacentral:rRNA from 1 species